UUUGAUUUUGUUCUUCACGCCAGUACUCAAAAAGCAGAGAAACUUUCCCAUAAUUUCAUUGAUUAGAAUAGUUUUUUGUUUGCCAGGAAGUGUUCGCAAACAUGCCUAUCAGAAGCAGUCAACAGACAAGGCCAUCGCAGAGAAAAUGUCAACAUGGUUCACGAAUGCGCGUGAUCGAGGACUAGGAGGAAAACGUGCGGCGAGAGGAGUUGAAGUCGUCAAUGAACAACAAUUGCCAGGUGGAAAUGACCCUGCCCUGCCAGAGCCACAAAACACUGAUAGUGACAAUUAAGAAUAUUAUAUAACCAUAGUGAUGAACAGUGACUUGCCAAAACAUGGAAAUGCAGGACAAAAUCUCAGGUUUUUGUUUGCCAGGAAGUGUUCGCAAACAUGCCUAUCAGAAGCAGUCAACAGACAAGGCCAUCGCAGAGAAAAUGUCAACAUGGUUCACAAAUGCGCGUGAUCGAGGACUAGGAGGAAAACGUGCGGCGAGAG